ACAGCCAAACGACUAAAAUUGGUAGGUGUCAAUAUUCCAUGAUGAAAGAUUCUCUUUACAUCAUAUGUGUGCAACAGCGUGAUGGUACUCAACUGUGAGCCCAAUACUUUUAUUACACUAUAGAUACAAGAAAAACGGACUUUAUACCUUUAUCAAACAACAGUUAAUGAUUUUGCAGCACAGAAAAAGUACACUUUGUGCUCUAAUCACACCACUAAACAACAACAAAAUUAGCUAAUCUCCAGCAUGAUGGAAAAAUAUUGUAAAGGCUAAUUCUAUUUCUGGUUUUCUUUUGGUGUGAACCGCACAUAUCCUUCCAGGCAAAAUAAUUCUACUCAAAUUAGAUAAGAUAUAGCAUGGACUUGACCCAUUUUGAGCCUCACCACGUGGCCUGGGUACACCGAAACUAUUUAACUAUUUUUCUCGUCAAUUUUUGUUAUAUAACACAUUACACGCC
rnacentral:lncRNA from 1 species